AUUGAACGCUGGCGGCAGGCCUAACACAUGCAAGUCAAGCGGCAGCGGGAAAGUAGCUUGCUACUUUUGCCGGCGAGCGGCGGACGGGUGAGUAACACGUGGGAACGUACCUUUUGGUUCGGAACAACUAAGGGAAACUUGUGCUAAUACUGGAUAGGACUUCGCAUCGCAUGGUGUGGGGUGGAAAGUGUUUCGGCUGAGGAUGGGCCCGCGGCCGAUCAGCUUGUUGGUGGGGUAAUGGCCUACCAAGGCGACGACGGGUAGACGGCCUGAGAGGGCGACCGGCCACACUGGGACUGAGACACGGCCCAGACUCCUACGGGAGGCAGCAGUGGGGAAUAUUGCGCAAUGGGCGAAAGCCUGACGCAGCGACGCCGCGUGAGGGAUGACGGCCUUCGGGUUGUAAACCUCUUUCAGCUCUGACGGAGCGAAAGUGACGGUAGGAGCAGAAGAAGCACCGGCCAACUACGUGCCAGCAGCCGCAGUAAGAC
rnacentral:rRNA from 1 species